rnacentral:rRNA from 1 species
GACGAACGCUGGCGGCGUGCCUAAUACAUGCAAGUAGAACGCACAGUUUAUACCGUAGCUUGCUACACCAUAGACUGUGAGUUGCGAACGGGUGAGUAACGCGUAGGUAACCUGCCUGGUAUCGGGUGAUAACUAUUGGAAACGAUAGCUAAUACCGCAUAAUAUUGAUUAUUGCAUGAUAAUUAAUUGAAAGGUGCAAUUGCACCACUACCAGAUGGACCUGCGUUGUAUUAGCUAGUAGGGGAGGUAACGGCUCACCUAGGCGACGAUACAUAGCCGAACUGAGAGGGUGGACGGGCAAACUGGGAAUGAGACACGGCCCAGACUCCUACGGGAGGCAGCAGUAGGGAAUCUUCGGCAAUGGACGAAAGUCUGACCGAGCAACGCCGCGUGAGUGAAGAAGGUUUUCGGAUCGUAAAGCUCUGUUGUAAGAGAAGAAAGGGUGGGAGAGUGGAAAGUUCACACUGUGACGGUAUCUUACCAGAAAGGGACGGCUAACUACGUG